GUAGGAGUCUUACAGGUGCAGAGAAGAACUAUCCAGUCCAUAAAUUGGAAUUUCUGGCACUCAAGUGGGCCAUCGUGGAUAAGCUGCAUGACUAUUUGUAUGGGGCAACAUUUGAAGUAAGGACUGACAACAAUCCACUUACCUACAUCCAGACUACAGCUAAGCUGGAUGCCACAGGACAUAGGUGGUUGGCUGCCUUGUCAAACUACAGUUUCAGCCUGAAGUACAAGCCUGGGCCCAAGAAUGUCAGCGCAGAUGCCCUGUCCCGCAGACCUAGACUCCCC